ACCUGGCUGGCUCGGUUGGAAGAGUGUGUGACUCUUGAUCUUGGGGUCGUGGGUUCGAGCCCCAUGCUGGGUU
rnacentral:tRNA from 1 species